rnacentral:piRNA from 1 species
UGAUACAGCUGUGCCUCUGAGAUGUGUAGU